UGCAUGUCUAAGUACAUGCCGUAUUAAGGCGAAACCGCGAAUGGCUCAUUAAAUCAGUCAUGGUUCCUUGGAUCGUACCUUACUACUUGGAUAACUGUGGCAAUUCUAGAGCUAAUACAUGCAGCAGAGCUCCGACCUUCGGGGACGAGCGCUUUUAUUAGACCAAAACCAAUCGGACCUCGUGUCCGUCUCUUGUGGUGACUCUGUAUAACUUUGGGCUGAUCGCACGGGCCUGUCCCGGCGACGUAUCUUUCAAAUGUCUGCCUUAUCAACUUUCGAUGGUAGGUUAUGCGCCUACCAUGGUCGUAACGGGUAACGGGGAAUCAGGGUUCGAUUCCGGAGAGGGAGCCUGAGAAACGGCUACCACAUCCAAGGAAGGCAGCAGGCGCGCAAAUUACCCACUCCCAGAACGGGGAGGUAGUGACGAAAAAUAACAAUACGGGACUCUUUUGAGACCCCGUAAUUGGAAUGAGUACACUCUAAAUCCUUUAACGAGGAUCCAUUGGAGGGUAAGUCUGGUGCCAGCAACCGCGGUAAUUCCAGCUCCAAUAGCGUAUAUUAAAGUUGUUGCGGUUAAAAAGCUCGUAGUUGGAUCUCAGUUCCAGACGGGUGGUCCUCCUACCGGUGGUUACUGCCUGUUCUGAACAGUCAGCCGGUUUCUCUUGAUGAUCUUCACCGGUUGUCUUGGGUGACUGGCAAGUUUACUUUGAAAAAAUUAGAGUGCUCAAAGCAGGCGUGACGCCUGAAUAAUGGUGCAUGGAAUAAUGAAAUAGGACCUCGGUUCUAUUUUGUUGGUUUUCGGAACACGAGGUAAUGAUUAAGAGGGACAGACGGGGGCAUUCGUAUUGCGACGCUAGAGGUGAAA
rnacentral:rRNA from 1 species